GGCCCGCCCCGGGGCUGCCCACGGCGGGGCCGGGCCCGCGGGGAGCGCCGCGCUACGGUGCUGUUCGUCCGCAGGGUUUUCGAGUCAGCGGGAGCCGGGAGGUGACCGGCCCUCUGAACGGCUCAUUACAGGAAGCAAAUCUGCAGAUGAAAACACAUGAAAUAGAACCAGAUCCCGCCAGAGCAUCAAACAUGAAAUAUGCCAGCGCCGCUCCACAGACAGCAUAAUCAAUGCCCUUCUUCCCACAGCAAAACCACCGAAAUUCUUUGUUCCUGCGCAGAGUUGUCCCAAAUCUACAGUUCAUCACUUCAUCCGGCAGAUGAGAUACCCCCACAGAAGCCAUGUGAGUGAAACCAACUAAUUGCCAUCUGAGAACGGGAGCAUACAGACAGACAAUAAAGUAGAGGAACACAUACUCAUCAUUAGCAGAAUGUGCUGGAAAAUAACAACCCAGGCUCUUCAGUCCUUAUCCCAAAGGAGACCUGCAAAAGACUCCCAGAAGGUAAAUCUCAACCCUCUCUUUGCUCAUGGUCCAGCAGAGAGCCGUCAGCUUGUCACUCACUCCUGCUCACACGCCUUUGCACUCCAUAGGUGUUCCUUUUUUUUUUUCCUCUCAAGUGGUCAAAUUGAUUAAUAUAAUUAGAUUAAACUAAGAACAAUUGCAUCUAGCCUGUAGUUAGCUUGAAUUUUGCUGCUUUCUGUCAGAUCUGAUAAAGAGACCCUGAGCCCGAUAGCUUGUUUGCUUUUUCCAGCCAUAUCAGCUGAUCUAAUAAAAGAUAUUACCUUUCUCCACAAACCUUGCUUCCCUGGGAUCCUCAGACCAUCACAGCUACAAAAACAACACUGUCUCGCCUUCUCUAACUGAUUCUUCCAGAUUCUCUUAUCUAUGAAAUAGAAUAUGAUAAAAUGUGUUUUGUUUUGUAUCGAUUCUUAUGCUGUUUUCAUAAUCAUAAUAUUCAAGUACGGUCGAGGACUACAUUAACUGAUCCACGUAACAUCUGUCACAUGUGGGGCUUGGUUUUCUUUGUCUUGUUCUCUCCCCAGGAAGAAAAUGAUGUGCAGAGCAGUGUUUUGGUUUUGUGAGGUUUUUUUUUCUUUUUUUCCUCCUCUAUUCUUGUUGCUCUGUAUUCAUACCAGGGAAAAUGAGGACGACGGCAAUUUCUGUGCUAGACUUUAUUUCCCAGGGAAGUUAAUUUCAGAGUGUUGAGGCACCCAUAGAAAGAUGUCUCCUGCACAAAGGAACGUUAAAAUAUGUUAUGCCCAACCAAAGAAAAGCUAAUCUGUAUUCUUGACAUCUGGGACAGAAACAUCCAAAAAAAGAGAACAGCAUUUCCCUUCCUCCAGAAAAGGAGUUUCAACCUGUGGUCCUAAGGCUCCAGCAGAUUGAGGCAGAUUAUUAACAUAUACAGGCCAGUGCUCUACACAGCUAUAAAUAGGAAUAUCUGGAAACCAAAAGGAGUAAUGUAUCUUCUGAUUGCAUUGAAACAGACCGCUAUAGGACAGCUUGAAGGGAAACAGUGGGAAUAAACUAUUUCAUGUGAAAACACAGAGAGCAUUUCCUCCUACGUGAGGAGUCACACCACUGUUCCUCAAAGAGGAACCCUGAGUAAUCCCACAUGUUUGAGAGGCAGAGGUACAACAUGUGAGCUUCUGAAAGGCAGGAACUGAGGUGAAGAGAGGAAUCAUUUGUGCUCAAGUACUGAAAGCAGAAAUACCAGAAGACCUCAGGGAGACAGUAGACAGCAGAUUUAAUAUGUUUUUGCAAUGUUAUAUGGCAGCAAAAAUCAUGCAGUUAAUUUAAUUUGGGGUUGUAAAGGCAGAGACCUCUUCUCAGAGAUAUAGGCAAUAGUCCCAUUUUUUAAUAUAGCGGUGAGACCACGGUUUGAAGACAUGUUUAGAUCUGGACAGCUCAGUACAAGCUAGAUGUCAACGACUUGGAGGGAAAUAAAAAAAAAAAAAGAACAUAAAAUGAUAAAAAAGCUGGAAGGGAUUACAGUGUGUGUAGGUUGGCCAAAUAACAACUGUGAAGAGCAUCAUGGGAAUUGCGUAUGAGAACUUCAGGGGUGCAGAAGCACCAGGGAGCGAGAAAGACUGCUUAGGGUUGUCUGAGGGAGUGUAAAUGAUAUCAGUGUAAAUGAAAUUAAGCAAAAUAAGUAUUAAUCUGCAAAUCUGCAUGACAGCAUCCCAGAGGAGCUCCCAUCACCCAAUUCAUGGAAGAUGAUCAAGAAGCAGUGUCUGCGGGAAGGGAUUAGAUGGGGACAGCAUGCCUUGGGGAUGUCCCACUUCUGACUGCCUAACUGCUUGCUAACUGCAAUAUUUGCAGAGCAGGAGGUCUCAACCCUGUACAUGGGGGAAACUUUCUCAACAGCAUUGCUGUAGAUCAAAAUAUCCGUGCUUGGUUCCAGCAGGUAGCUAUGGAGGGAGUGCAGUACUUAAAGAGAUCUAAGGGGUGAUUGUAUCCUCAGAACAUUUCCUUUUCACCACUGUGAUUUUCUGGAGAUGUCCCUGGUUCAUCAUCUGGUCAGGACAACAAUGACAGCACUCCUUUGUUUAGUGUUGUUGUCAUGACAUUCUCUUGGAUCACACAGACCUUCCAAAAGCUGUCCUGGACAGCACCCACCUCUUCCAAGAAGUCUGUGGCAUCCAUAGACAGCAGCUAAUUGAGAUGAAAAUAAAUAAAUAAAUAAAUAUAUCGGAGCUUUUAUUAUUCCUUAAUUAGAGUAAGGAGAUCAAAGUAUCUGCUUUUCUAACACGGUAGGAAAGCCAGCCUGAACUUGCACCCAUGCCACCUUUCUAUCACAUUGUGCCACCACAUAAUAGGAGACCUACAGCAUAGAGUGGCCGAGCAAGGGCUGACGCAGCCUGCUGCUGUUCUUCCUGAAUGUGCCACGCACACAAUGCUUUAAAAAAAUAAAAAAGCCCAGACAAUUUUAUAAAUGUUCUAUAAUGAGUUUGAACAUCUUUCCUUUCCUUUCUGGGUCUGUAUUUUUUUAACAACACCCUUAGGGAGGCAUUGCAGUGAUAAUUAUCAGUCCAAGCAUACACAAAGCACACAAAGGUACCAUAUCCUGUAAUUGUUGACCUUAAACAGCUUUUCUAUACGUAGAAAUGUAAUGAUCUCUGUGAAGGAAACCUCUCUACUUAUUUAUUAAAAUGAAUACCGUGGCCUGACACACACAGGCAAACACGAGUGCACUAAUAUCUUGGUUUGAGGUUGUCCUGUAAUUAACUGCUGAAGCACACACUGAAAUGAGUCCAUCACUCGCCCGUAUCUCGGGGACCUCUGGCUGCUUCACUCACACUCUGCCUAAUGGCUGUCUCAGGACAACACCUGCCACAAACCUCUCUCGUUUCAUGCACUUACCUUGCGAGGUUGGUGUUUGGUUUUUGUUUCUGAUCAAGAGGAAAGUGUUUUCUUCUUUCUUUUAAAUGUAGCUUUUCUCUGGAGGUAGGACAGGCAUUGUCAGCUCUGAAAAUUCAAGAUUAAUCAAGCAAUUAAGAAUUGAUAUCUAGUGACUUAUCAUGACUAGAAAUGAGAGAUGCUGCAUUCAUUUUAGCUCUACAUGAACCCAAAAUAGCUAACCUGAUUUUUAUGGACAGCGAGAUUAUUUUAAAUCUACUGGGGAGGAGAAGAAGAGCUACAGCUCCCUUAUUAAACUGAUUUCUCCAAAACCCACACCUGCGUUUCGCACACUGCCUAGCAGAGCAGGGCUGCACAGAGCUGUUCUGAAGAGCCGCUGUGCUCCAGGCUCAGACCCUGCCUUGACCUCAGUGAGUCUGAAAGCCUACAGAAAUCCCGAGGGAGCAAAAGCUGAGCUGAAGUUUUACUUUCUCUUCCCCACGUGCUCACAGAGCACAGCCCUGUUUGAAUAAAUAACCCAACCAAGCAGGAAUUGCAUCACACCGCGGCUGUGGUUUCUUUCAAAUGUUCAAAAGAAUGGCAAGCAUUCCCAUUCACAGAAUGAUCACAGCACCUCUUCUUGUGCCUCUCUCUUGCCCGGAAGCUCGGCGCUGGCACUGAGGGCUUCCCCAUCUUCUCUUCCCUGAGCAGAGUGCUGUGACGAGCCACAGCCAUUUGCUCUGCCUGCCCUAAGCCCUCUCCACCAGCCCAGGAGAUUCUUCAGCAGUUAAGACCUUCUGGGAUGGAUGUGCAGUAACUCAUCACGUCCCCUCCAUAAACAUUUAUUUGGGGAAUUACAGCAUAAGUAAUUGGGCUUUCCAUGGUAAUUUGGCUUUUACGAGCUCUCCUUAUUGCCAAAAUGGUGGAUACCUCCAUAAGAGAGAGCAGUAACUUCUGCAGCUCAGUGACCUCUGUGAGCAGACCUCAUCCAGGCAAAUGGGAGCCCCGAUCAAUACCUGCACAAGAAACCAGUGAUGAAAGAAGAGUGCUGCUGAAACAGGUGCUGGAGACCCAGGAAGAGACUUUUUUCCCCUAUACUUUAUAAAACCGAAAGGAGCUUAAUAAUUCCUGCUUACCCAGCUGCUGGCUCCCACCUUGACAGCCUGAUCGGAAUAAGAACGUAGGAAGCUGAAUUUUGCUCCUGACUUUACUUAUGACCCUCUGCUAUUUUGGAAAAGUCGUUUAACCUCCUGAGUCUCCGUUUCCUCAUGUAUGAAGCUGAAAUAUCAUACUGAGUCUUGCAAGGACACUUGACAUCUUUGAUUUUAAUGGCAUGUGUCAGCGUAAAGCACCGCUGGUGGCAUUACAAGGCUAAUUCCCUCGCAACUGCAGUACAGGUAUUUUGGGUACAACUAUUACCCCUGGGAGUGCUCAGAAAUCCUUGCCCCAAAUUGUAGGCCUAACAGUCUUUCAGAUGGGAUAGAAAACAGAGGUUCUAACUGGUUACCUAAAGGCACGUUUCAAAGAAGCCCAUGUGUUAGCCUUUCCAUGUUCAUGCUGUUCCAAUUUGGGCAAUUACAUUCUGACUGCUUAAAGCAGGGGAGCCGACUUGCCUGACCCUACCAGCUGUAUAUUCCAAUCUUCAUGUGGCCAAGAGCUAUGGAACACAAGCCACGUAUUUCAGAAGGAAAAGUGGAGCUCCGGGAGAUGCUCUUAUGUCAUGGACGCAAAGGAGGGGAGCCUGCCCUGUCUUCAUCACCUCUCAGGGGCUGGUGGCACUUGGGCUGCAGUGCAGAGCUGUGCGGGGCCAGAGGCACCAUCCAUACGGGCAGAAGGCAGCCCUGGCUGGGACGGCUCUGCAUGGCUCGAGGUGCCCACCUCGAGAGGCUGGGGGCCUCCAGGGGCAUGCGGGCAGGCAGGGGACAGGAGAGGGAGCAGAGAGGACCUAGGGCACCAUCUGGUGGCUUCACUCACCGCCUUCCCUAAAUCCCUGACACACAGGGUCACAGCCCUUGCAUGGCUGAGGACUGGAGAAACACCAGACUCUGCAGAGAGACCAUCCAGCAGGAAGAUGGGACCCCUGCCCUUGGCCCUUUGGACAUUGCUGGGUGGGAGAGGGGUCCAAAUAGAGCUGCAGUAGCCAUUCCACUUGGGUGCUUUUCAGUAAGUGCCUCCUUUCACAAAAAGACUCAGCCCAAACUAGGUCUUUAGACACCUGCCAUAGAAGUGUUUAAUGUCAAUGAUACCCCUGAGAAGGGAAAAGAUGAUGAUCGGAAGACGACAGCAAUGAAAGAGAACACAGUGGACAACACGUUGGUCAGGCAUUUUGUUUCAGUCACCUAUCACAACAAGCUCUUUGUUGUCCACAGAUAAAAGGCAAAACGUGGUUGGUGUAUUUCAUACCAGAAAACAGCACCCAUGCAAGAGUUUGUUCUCUACCAAAAAGGAUGAAAAGAGUGAACCACUCAUAUGCGCUCAGCUUUUUGCCUUCUGAAAGUAGGAUUUGCUAGAAAGUGUUGUGAAGGAAUUGUUUGAAAGGGACUAGGUGGCCUCAGUGCCACCAACAACCCUUAGAGCAGUGCCAGCUAAGACAAUACGGAGAGGAUCAUCACAGUGAGAGGCUGCAUCUUAGGACCGAAAGCUCUCUCUUGGUACAGAGGAUAAAGGGCCCUGUGUUAAUAUGGCACCUCCUUUACAAGAAAACAGUGUGUUUUCCACCUUUGCACCACCGCUUAUUUUGAUAACGUCUCCACUUCCUGAAAUCCUGUCAAUACAAAGGGGUAAUUUCUCUUAGCUUUCCCACCACCUGGGAAUCAAAGAUUACAGCUCUGCAACCUGAGAGCAUGUUCUGUGUGUAACUGCACCACGCUGGGGAAAGCAAGCAGAGCUGUGGCCCUCAGGGACAUCGUUUUCAAGAGGAAUCCAUUCUCACAUUCAAUUUAGGAAUAAACACAAUAAGUCCGUCAUCAAGUCUCACUUGUGUGGAGCAGGGGUAGAUAAUCCUUAACUUCUCUUCUUUGUAUGUUUUUUUAUUAUUAUUAUUAUUUAUAUUGUCCACACUUAAAACAAUCUCUUUCUGCAUCUAUUCUCAGAGACCAUACAGACAAGAAGAGCAAACGACUGCCUUUUUUUUUUUUCUUGAACAAACCUUUGCUAUAAAGAAACUGCAUCAAUAUUAUAUAAAUUAUAUUCACUGGUUUCUCCUACCUGUGCCAGAGGGCAUUUCCUCAUACCUCCUUGGAAAACUCUGUACCAUUUAUAAACAACUCUUCUCUCACCAUCUUCUACUUUACACCUUUCUCUCUCACACACUCUGGGCGGCUGCCCACAGUGCACAAUGCUAGAGAAGUGAUACUAGCUUCAGGCUACGCAGCUUCCAAGCUUCCUUUUUCUCAAGCAGCAGUCUUUUAGCCUCACAGAACCAAUCCCAAACCCAUUGAAAUCAACACAGCAACUCCUCCUGACUUUGACAGGCUCUGGCGCACAGCCCAAAUCCCCAGACUUUCAGCGUUUCUUGGACAUUUUUACUUUUUCACUUGAUUGAUCGGAACCGGUUGGGAUUCGUUCAGUACUUGAGCACUGACUGUUCUAAAAUAGCCCUCCUAUUCCAAAUAUCAUUCCUUUUCUUAUGUUUCAUCUUAAACACCUACUGCUACUUAAUAUAUAGAAUUGUUCAGACAUAAAUGUAAGGAACGCUAUUUAAUAGAAAAGCAAAGCAAAACACUUCGCUGCAGAGUGAGAUCUUUGCCAGGAAAUUUGCAGCACUAUUAUUUUUAGCACGUAUAAAAUUUAAAAAGCAAAACACACACACACACGAAGAAAAAAAAAAACAAAAAACAACCCAAACAAACGGCAUUAUUUUGAAAACUUAAACCUUUCAUCUCAACCAGCAGCUUCUUCAGAAUGUUUUAUUGCCACACUACAACGUAUUUAUAUUUCAUCUCAUCAUUUCUUCAAAUUUGUUAAGGAAAGGUGAUAUUAUACCUGCACAAUCCCCUGUUUCUGCUUUUGUUUUGUUGUUGUUGUUUUCUGAGAAAUGUUUUUAUCCCAAUUGCUAUUUCUGGUCACAUUACUAAAUACUAAAACUGCUGAGUUCAACAAUUUUUAGUUCUAAUUAUUGUGAUCACCUAACAACUGGCAGCCAAGUCUAGUGAGACACACUGUCUAUUUGUUGCUCUUUCUGAAAUGAAUUCCUCAACACUGGGAAGAGAAAAAGCGUUUUCCUGUGGUUUAAGAAAGUCCAAAUUGCAUGUCUGAAAUCUCUUCUAAUAAAAAGAGCAAAGCAAUAAGCGGAUUAUCUCUUUAAACAUAGUAUAGGAAGGUUGGAGGCCCUGGAGACAUUUUCCAUAGCCUCUAUCUCUGAUGCAUAGCAACAUUAUCUUCAAGUAGAGAGGGUCCUAUGACCCUGGAGCUCUGUUUUAAUUUGAUCUUCUUCUUUAAAGAGGUUUCUAUGAUUCCUCUCAAGUUAUGCUACAUAUUCUUAUUUUGGGUUGGUUUUGUUUGGUUGUUAUUUUGUUGUUCUUUUUUAAUCUGAGAUAAAACGGCCUCAGCUUUUUUGAUCCGCUGGUUUGAUCGCGUUAUAUGGAUAUUAAAUGUAACCUUUUCCCUACCAGAACUGGAAUAUGCAUCAGCACAAAAGGUAGGCAAGUUCCAGCUGACAGGAGAGAGAAGAGCUUGGGUAGAAAAUUCACCUUGAGGGUCUCUCUCCUCACUCCGGUCAUUCUAAGUUUGAGAACUGGUCUAUCUGCCCGAAUAAUCUAUGAGGGAAAACAAAGCAAAACAAAACUUAUAUCUUUGUUGGGAAAUAAUGGCUGGCUGAAACAAAGGCAAACCUAUGGAUUUUGGUGGGGCAGAGGUACCAAACCUCCUCCCACAGAAAUUCAAAAUCCCAAACAGUAAGAAUGGCCAUUGCCAAAAAGAAUAGCAAACUGGGGAGAUCAGCUUGAACUUCUCUGGGCUGGGACAUGGACCCAGAACUGUUUGAAUUACGCAGCCCAGCAAGGGAGUUUCCUCAAGUUCCCAGCUUUUCCUUUUCCUUGUUCUGGAGGGGUCAUUGCCACUGGGACAUCUUGGCAGGCACAGAUAUUUUAUGUCUUCUUCAACUCCAUUUUUAUCUCUCUUCAUGCAUCCAUCCCUUGCCCAGUACUGCUGAUAUUGCUGAAGGGAAAGCAUUUCUUCCAAGGCACUGAUUUGAGUCAGUUGAGUAUGGUCACAGCAGGCAUCUGUGACUACUUGAUGGGAUUAGCAGAUUAUGAGAAAGCAUGUUUCACUGUGGGGUUCCUGAGAAAGAAAAAAUGGGCAGGUGGAUGCUUGGAUCUUCGUUAAACUAUGCAUGAAGGCCUGAUGGCUGUGUCAGGAAAGCCAUAGGCACAGGAUCAGAUGGGCUGCUGCAGGUCAAGAUUUGAAGAUCAGGCCAGCAAGCAGGGAGGUUUCUGGACUGUGAUACCACUUACAGAGGACCAAGAUUCAAGUAUUUCAGCCAGGCCAGGUGAGAAAAACCUGCACAGAUUCCAUCUGCAGCAUUUUUAAGAUAUGUGUGACAAAAAACAGCUUUUCUUUUGCAUCAAAAACAGCUUUGCUGCAAAAUAGCUUUGCUGCAUAAAUACAGACUGAGCCCCCGUGGGAUUUGAACAGAUGUAUUCUGCUGCUAAUGAAGGGCAGUCUGGAGGGAGCCCAAGGUUCACGAGUGCCCCAUGGCUGUGCCCUGAAGUCACUGUGGCUCUUCGCAGAGAACUGAUGGUGUAGAAAGUAGCUCUGUCGUGCAGGAAGAUGUCUGAUCCACACAGGGUCAGUUUUUCCCUCAGAUAUUCUCAUACAGUGUAUCACUGUAUUCUUCUAGAGUUUCUUGCUUCUCAGGUGUCUGCAGAAUGAUGAAAAGGAGAAAAAAGAAAUGGAGGAAAAUUAUUCAAAAGAAGAUGAAUUAAUUCUUAAUCAGCAGACACUGACGUUUGUUCUGUGAGAAAUGGCUAUAAGUGAUCUGUUGAAACGGAAGCUGCUGUGCUGAAAAAUGUUGCUCCAAAAGAGACGAACGUGACUAAUCCAGCCCAAGGGAUAAAGAUGCCUCCUUUACUUGUCACUCUUUGCCCAAAAAGCUGUCAGACAAGGAGGGGAGGGAAAAUUGGACUCAGUAAAAAAAUAAAUCACUUUGGAUUCUGUGAAGGAGGAAUUCCCUGACCUCCCCAAUCCUGUUUCUUCAACAGUUGAGUCUAUUCCUCACAACUGUUCCUUGUGUAGACAAGGCGCUGACAGACUGAUAUUUUAAGCGCCGCGUGGCACAGGCCUGCUGUAAGCAAGGUUAUACAGCGAGUAGUUGGAAUGCCAGAGGGUGAAUGGAGCCCUACCUACACUAGCUUCUUCUCCGUUGCCACCACCAAAGGGAAAUGUUCUACAAAAUCUGAGUGCAGACACCUCCAUAGCAGGAACAGACACUAGAGGAUUAACCCCUCACCACCCAGGCUGGCUGUCAGCGCAGUGCAACAGCUUGCAAAGGCUCUUGUUUCAAGUGCUCUCUGCGCUGUUUCACUUUACGUGCAGCAUCCUGCACCGAGGGCUGGCUGUGAUCCUCUGCAGCGAGUCUCAGCCACAGUUCAGCAACCCAAGCUUCCUGCUCCAGCCCGAACCCACUGACCUACAAGUUUUGCUCUUAGGAAAACAUCCUAUUAGGUUCUGACAUGGCCAGCUAGAGGAUGAGUAUCCCAAGUGGCCAGAGCCCAGGAUGAUGGAGUGGGAAGCUGAUCAAGAGGCUUGUCACUGCAGUGAGAAGCAUAGUCAAAUUAACCUGUGCAGAGAAGGCUAUAUCCCUUCGAGGGGAACCAAACUCAUUCCCGGCUUCUGUGAAACAACCUCAGAGAUUAAUAUAAUUCUCCCACCUUUUCCAUUUUAAAUCAUUGUUCGCUGCACAGAGAGCCCAAGGCCUUGGCAUUCUCUUCCAAUCCUCACAGCUGCUCCUACUGCAGAAGCUCCUUUCCACUCUCCUCACUUGGAGAGGAUAAGCCCUGAGGUGGGACACAGCGGUGGGGGUGAUGGAGCCCUGCCACUCACACUUCCCCAUUUCUGACCAGCAUGAAGACUGAACACACUCAGAAGUGUCUGCUCAUGGCAGUGAGAGCUCAUCCCAUCACCUCUCUUUGCUCUCUUCUCCUUUGUUUCUCCCAUCUCUUUUUCGAUCUUUACCUCUCCCCCGCUGAGACCACAAGAGCCAGACCCACUCGCACGCUCUUGCUUCGUUGCUUUGUUCCCACUCUGUUUUACAAGUCUGCUGGCCCCUAAAGCAGCAAUUCAGUGGUGUGGGCCACACACAGGUGAUUCAGCACAGCCCAGACAACUCCACGGUAGGAAAAAAGAUGUACUGCAUCUCCUCAUUCAGACCAAAUCAUUUAGAAGGGGGCAGCUGAUAAAGGUAUACAGAUAAAUAAUUAGGACAGAGAAGAGGAAUCCGGACUUACUGAUCUUCCUACCCAAUUAGUUCAAAAUGCAAGAACACAAGAACAGGGAUGCUGUCUCUUCCAGUACAUAAGAUGCACUGUGGUAUAAGACAGCUUAUAUAAAAGAACCUAUUCUUCCCUUCAGUAAUCAACUGCAGUAAUCAGAUACCUGCCACUGCCUCUGCUACCACCGCUUUAAAGGCACAGCACUAACUGCAGGAUGCCACUGGUGCUGGAAGCAGAACGCAUGCAACUAGCUCUCACAUGGAAGAAGGCACUUGAUUCUAUACCACUGGAUUUGUGAAAGUGCUUCACGCUGAAAAAUAUUGCCCUUCAUGAAACAGAGGGAUGGUGCCAGCUGAAGCUGGCGCAGGCUCCACACUGCAUAGUUGACCUGGAGAACUCUCUGCAGCAGGAUAUCAGAGGGAGACACAGGAGACGUUUUUCAGAAAAAUUUUCCAGUGUUAGAAGAGAGAACAUACUUUUUAAGUAGAUGAGAGUUCUGGAGGGGAAAUGAACAACAAAGAUCUGAGGGCAGGAAGGAAGUGUUCCCUGAGGUUUUGUCCCUAGAAACAUCUGAUACUUGUGCUAAGGGCAGGGUGCAGGGCUGCGUGGGCCUCUAGUCUACAUCAUAUGGCCCCCACAAAUGAUCCAUGCCUGCAUAUUCCAAGUUGCAGCUACUUUCAUUAUGAGUGGAUUCAGUUCCUUGUCUCUAACUCGUAACUAUCAGCCAAGCGAGAAGAUCCAAGACAUAGCCACACUGCCUUUUCCUGCCUCUGUUCAGACCACCUUACCUUCUUUUACCAGGAAAUGGCUCUCAGGUGCUUAAUGCCAGCCAGAGUAAAAUUGUGUUCCAGGUCUUCCCCUAGUGCACAGAUUCCUCUAUGCUGGAGGACUUUUUGGCUGCCUAAACAAUCUGGAAGGGGCAAUAGUGAGGGACAGCAUCUGGCCAACUCUCCAUGAAUGUCUGGGCCAUUUAGAGGGAGCAAUGCCAAACUUCUCAAUACCUUUCAGCAAAGCAUCUGCACGAAGCCAGGUCUGCCAGAACCAGUAACACUGAAGGAGCAGGGGUUCUGUCAGAAGCAGGAAGAUACACUACAUGUGCAGCCCAGCUGGUGAGUGGAUGUCACGUCCCAUUUUCCUCUUUCAAUGGGGCUGGAAGUGGGGAAAUAGCAGGCACAUUUACUACCUGCUAGGGCCGUGGUGCCUCUGAGUUUUCCAGCGCAUAAGGGAAUUCUACAAGAACACAGCCCCAGCCUUUACCUUGCCUGGAGGACUCUUUCUGUGUUGUGGGAUCUUCGUGUUGUUCUUGAGGACAGAAUAGACCUCAACUUGCUGCGAAUCCAGGCACUGGAAAGGGAAGAGAGAAAAGGGUAGGGUUCACAUAAAAUGCUUAGGUUUAAGCACGCCUGAUUCCUCAUCUCGUGCCUGCCAUUUCUGAGGAACCUGACCUCCAAAAUUCUGAAGUUCCUGUCUUGCACAAAAAUAAAAUCAUUUUUGCCCUAAAACUUCUACAGUGCAGCUUCAUCACCUUCCUUUUUCAGGCUGAUAGACACAGGUUAUGACAUUACCUAUCCAAUGUAAGGCAGAAGAGAACAAUGCCAAUGCCCCUGCUUCCCUCCAAAUUGUCACAGAAUGCAAAAGAAAGACCUCUCUGCCUGUGGUGCACAAAGGGAACCAUGGGUAACAGGCAGCAAGCUGCAUCUCUCAAGACUGUUUGGGUGCCUAACAGCCAGAGGUUCUUGCACUUGGUUGUUCUGGGCACACAGUGAUGAGAAGGGAGGCUAGUCUGGGGUCCUGAAGUACACAGCUGUUGAAAACAGGAAAUCCUACAAUAGGCAUGAUUUCUGUUUAUUGCCUGGUAUUUUUUUUUUUCCAAGCUAGAACUGUCUUUUCUUCUUAGAGUGAGUAAAGAAUAAUAAUAAUAAUAAAAAAAAUCAAUGCACUUGCAGGCCCACAGAUAUAUCCGUGGUCCCACACCGAUACAGAGAAACACACACACGUUCUACAUGUGUAUGCACCCGUUGGUCCCCCAGGUAAUCAUGUCACAAGAGAUGCAUGUCAGUUUGAGUGAUGUUCCAGAUCUGCCUGAAGGAUCAAACAUAACAAUCAGGAGGACUUUUCCAUGUGUGUUUCAAGGAUGACAGCAGGUUGCCAAGGUGGCUGUUUCUCUGGCAACAGGAAGAUGGGAGGAGCUCAGCCUUAAGAGGGGCAGAUGGUAUUAGUGGAGAGACUGUGAAGGGAGCAAGGCCGCCUACAGUACAGCAAAGGGGACCAGCAAAAUACAGGGGCUUUCUCCUGGGACUGCCAGUCAUCUGACCCCCAUCGUUUCAUCUGGAGUUCGGCAUCUUUCUGGAUCAUGGCCAGCAGGACUGUGGUUUGAACAGGACAAGAUGAUAGUGGAGCAGUAUUUGGAAAUGGGGCUGGGAGCAAGCCCCCAUUAGGAAGGGGCCACAGUGAAAGAAGCUUCAUGUGGCUCUCCCGUUUCCAGUCCUCCUCCAGAAGAAGUCAAAGUACUUCACUUAUCCACGUCUCUCUCCCAAGAUCCUACUUGCCUGGAGCACACAUUCCCAACUACUUCUGCGUGCACAUGCGUGCACAGAAAAUCCCAUUUCCCUUUCCUCAUUUUCAGUUCUCUCUCUGAUGCUUGCAGUGAGGACCUUGUCCUGUGUGCUGUGCUCCCAACAGCCUGGCUCUGCGUCCCAUUGACAUGACGGGCAGCCUUUUUCAUUGCUCUAGUCCAAAGCCACUCGUGAGCAAGAGGUAUCCUUUUAGUGCUUCAACUCCAAAGAGGUUCCCUCUUUCUGCAAACCCUCCUUCCCACGGAGGCUCCCGACAACGCUUUGCUGGCCAGUUGGAAGGCUAGUGUCUCCAGCUGCCAUUUGCAAAUCAAUUACUUGUACACGGUCACUGAGCACCUGCUGUUGUCGCAGUGGUAGCACACAGGCCUCUCCUCCCUGCUGGCAGAUGCCUUCUCAAAAAGCUCCUGUGCUCUGGAACUCACCUGCGCUGCAGGAGCUCUGUUUGCUGCUGAAAAAAAAGGCUUGUUUGAAGUGCAAAGCAGGAGAAGCAAGGCCCUUGGAUUGAUAUUUCCAAGCUGCUCAUUAACUAGGCAGCUAAGCUGGAAGAUGGAGGGAAAUACAGGCUUUGGUCUGGGUGGUGCGAUGACCUCCUCUGGGGCUGCAGGAGGGUGAAGAGGCCUUGUAGUGCUUGGCAGUGUAGUGGAACAAAGCAGGUGUCCAGCUGCCCCACUACAGGGACUUUGUACUAGCUCAAGCUGCUUUUCACUGCAUACACUCUCCCUUAGGGACCAUAAGGUGACACCUGGAAGAGAUGGUGGGGAGCGUGUUUGCUCCUAGCGAUGUGCAGCAGAAUGGCUUUGCAGAAGGUAUGCUGGGAGCCCUUCUGUGCCAGGGGCAAGCCUUGCUGCCAGGGAAGAUAGCACAGACCAUUUAACAAGCUGCAUCAGCCAGCUCCAAGCCCUUGCCUGUAUGUCCAGUCCUGCUGUCUGCUGUGUCUGCUCCAAGCUCCAGGCCCACUGUGGCUCCCUGACUUUUUUCCAGACUUGAACCUUCUGCUUUCCCCCACAGACAGCACAUCUGGCACAUGCUGGCCUCCUAUCCCUUCACCUAAUCUCUGAUCUCCCUCUUUAUCUCAUCAGUAGAAGUGACUUUCCAUUCAGAAGUGACUUGCCUUAGCUUCCCCCAGAGCUGACCACAGAUAGAAAUCUGUCCCUCCCUUCCCCAGGAAUUAAGCACUAUGUGUUCAGCAACCCAGUUGAACACCAACAGUAUUUCACAGAGCAUGUGUUCCAUCCCAGGGCUCACCCUCUCCUCCCCAUUACGUUUCCCAUAACAUCUCAGAGCUCUGCUCUCACCGUGCACUGUGUCUGCUGCAGGAGUUGCUGCCUCAUGCCUGAACGAGUCACAGCAGCUGCACUGUGGGGCAGGCUCACACCCCAUGGCAUACAUGACAUGAUUUUGAGGCUGCCUGCCGCUCUGCCAAAGAGGGCUGAGCUGCCUGCCCUGCACACUGGGCUGGCUGCAAGCCCUACACAGCUGGCGUGCAGCUAAUGGGCUAUGGGGGAAGGCUGGAUGGGCCAGGUCCAUAGGGCUCCUGGAAGCGCAGGAUCCCAGCCAGCUACCGGGACUGCCUCUGCCUAAGGUUGGCUCUGCUGGCUUACUGCAUUAGCCUUAGUGGGGCCUCCUGAACAGAACAACAUGAUGAAACAUGUAAUUAAGAUGGAGCUAAGGAUGCAUGACGAGGCCGACUGAGCGAGAAAUGGAUUUGAAUUUUUUUUGUCUCCUUGCAGAAAUCAUCCACUUCAGCAGGAAGCUACCCAGUCGGAUUUUUAAAAGACAGAAUUAAAAAGAAAUUACUUGAUAUAAACGAAAAGGUUUAUAACCUGCAACAUCCUCUACCCAAAGCAUUUCUUUUUACCCAGAAUAAACACAUCACAUACAAUAUAUAGUGCUUUCUUUUAAACCUCCAUUCCAGAAAUUGAAGGGCCACAAAGCAGUGCCCCCCACUCAGCGAAGUGUGAACAAGAAGGGGGCAGGCCUGCCCUUGCCUUCACAUCUGCCCCCUAUCAGAUUUCCAUGCCUCUUUGGCAGGGCUUUGCUCCUCUCUGCAGUACAUUCUCCAGAGCUCUGCUUUGUUUAGUUUAAAUGAUUCAUGCAGCUGAGCUUACAGGUUUUCCUUGGAGAGACUUUUCCAGCCCUUACAGACCUCACAGUCAGAAAGGUUUCCUAAUAUUCAGGCAACAUCCUUCUCUACUCACUUUCAUUUCAUUCCUCCUCAUUUGUCCCACAGACCAUGUGGAAAAAAAAUAAAUGAAAUAAAUCAUUCCCUUCUUAGCAAAGCAACCCUCCCAUGGGAGUUAAAGGAAAAAAAAAAAAAAAGGAAUACAUUUUAAAUGGAACUGGAUGGGCUGUAAAUGUGAUUAGGGGUCAUGGCUACUUGAGGUAGUCAAGGUCUGGGCUUGACGUUUCAGGAGAGCCACUCCAAUCCUAUUACCUAUGACACUGCCACUACUGGGCUCAAAGAGUGGCAGCAGACGGUGCUCUCCAUUCUGGGGAAUGGAGAAAGGAGAUGGGCUGCAUUCUAAGCAGUGGAAAGGGAAAUGCUCCAAAAAAAGUAUCCUUUUGCUUUCUUCCUGUCCUCUUCCUCAGACUGCUAGUCAGCCAGCUCAGCACUGCAGUGGUCCAUGCCACUGACACCAGCAAAGGUAUCACAGCAGAACCUCUAAAAAGUUGUUGGUGGGAGAGUUUCUCUCUCUGCCACUUCUCUGAGUCAUCAAUCUCCAUCUGAGAAAAGCAUGUCCUUGAGACACUUUGCACUACAAGCAAGGCUGAGCUCCAGUCUUCCCUUCUGACUUCUGGAGGCCCUUCCACCUCCAGUGCCAAGAGCUGUCUCUGGCCCCAUGCUCGCUGCUCAAUUAUAUGCUGCUGGCAGAGGGAAGGGUGCUGCCCACCAGCACAGGGCAUGGUGCAAGGCUUUGGCACCGGGAACAGGAUGGAGACAUGCACAGUCCUGAGGGGAGCUGAACAGGGCAGAGCGCAGAAAUGGGGUUGCCAGCCAUAUAGGUAUCACUUCUGUUGAGAUGGAAGGUGAUUCUGAUACUCACGUCAUAAACAGGAGAAGGUGGUGGUGGGCUUGCUGAAGGAGGCUGUGUUCCUGUCUGCAGUCUCCUGAUAUUUAGCUGGUUCUUCUUAGGACACAAUAUCUGCUCGGGACAAGACACAGAAUUAGACAUUUGGAAAAAAACCACCAUUUCCCCAAGGAUGAAAUGAAUGCCAGUGUCACAUCAAAGCCAGCUGCCAACACACCCUCCGAGUACUUGCACAGUAUGGAACGAUGGCAUUCUGCACAAUGCAGGCCAGUCACUUUUCUCACCGUUGAGUGAAAGGAAGGAGUCUGACAACUGACACUGAAGCACUGGAAAGUAAAACUGGGCUCUGUCCGUAUAUAGAAAUCAGCUCUACCCCUGACAGAGGGAAUAGGUAUUUAACAGCACGUACAAUGCUGUAGGAUAGGGAAUAAAGCAGGGCCAUAUUCAAAGUGCAAGAGGAAUUUCAGAGAGUGAAUGCAGUGAUUUUUGUGAGCUGGGAAGAUGUUGCGAAUACACAGAGUCUAGAGAAAAGCACCAGGCAGGCACUAAUGAUGACAUAUAGUCAGUGAUACACUAACAGGCAGGUCCAGCACGGAGUUAUGGAGUUGAAGGAAGAAAGUCUUUUCCUCUGAAAUGUUGCUCACAUCGGAUGGCUUCUCCUUGAAUAUGCUUCAUUCAUGCACAGGUAAGGGUUAGCACUGCUCAGCAAGCAAAAGAAAGAGGCAGAGAAGGCAGAAAGCUUUGCUAAGUAUCUCUGUUUUAAUUCAGAAAGAAGUGGGAUGAUUAUAUUCACAUCACAUGAAAACGAUGAACUGCUUUCCAGUCCAUUAGUAACUAAGGAGGAUGCUAAAUAGCUUCUCUUAAAGAUAAACAUUUUUAAACCAGCAGGUCUGAGCAAGCUGUGGUGAGAAAUAUGGUCUGUGUUCAGCAGGAGGGCAAAUGUAAUGACUGCAUGAUCUCUUCAGGCCCCAAGGAGAGCCUGUAGGUCUGAGACUUGCUGGCCUGCCUCAAAGUCUAGAGAUGCCAACUGGCAAGCUGUGAAGUGCCUCCCUCCUAUCCCCAUGGAGAUGCUGUCUAGGCAGGCAGAGGUGGGGGCUCAUCUCCAGCCUAGUCACUCUGCCUCCAACUCCUUCCCCCUCCAUCUGCCUGCCUGCAAGGUAAAUCUCACGAGAUUUGCAGGUCUGCCAACUGCUGCCACUCUGUGUUCAAUCUCACUAUCUCUGACUGUGCAUGCUGAAGCCUGAUGCUCCUUGGAGCCAAAGGUCUGCAUCAGCAACAUCGCUUUCACAUAAAAACACGUGCACAGACCCUGCUGCUGUAAUGGCAGAGGGCAGCUUGACAGAGUAAAUACGAGUGGAUACAAUACCUACACAAACAUCAUUCCCUAAAUUCAGUUCUCAAAUACAUCGGGUCUAUUCAAGCCAGCCUUAAGAUAUCUGAAAGACUGCAAAGGAACAUCUGAGAGUAGAAGUAAGGAACAGUAGAUUUCACCUGGCCAACAGAGAUUCCAGUAUUAAAACUUCAAAGUUUAUUCCACAGGGCUCCAGACUCAUUUAGACCUUUUAGUCCUACUUUCAGCUCUUCUUCUCCUGCUCUACACCUCUUUUAUUCCCCACUUGUGGUUUCCCCUUUACCCUCAGUUCUUUCUCACCCAGAUGGUUCCAGCCUGUGCUACUGGCCUUCUCAACCAAGGGUCCCUGUGAGCCCAGUCUUAAUACCCUCCUCCAGGCUCUUGUGCUUCCUCACUCUGGCUCCCAGUCCCAAUUUCCAUCCCAAGUCUCCUCAUUUCAGCCUCACAGAACCGCUGACAUUGGAAGAUGCCUCUGGACUUUGUCUAGUCUAAUCUGCAGCCUGCUCAGAAUCAACUUAGGCAGGCUGCUCAGAAUUUUGUCCCUCUUUUUACUCAGUCAGCUGUGACCUCUAGAAAGGCUUCCUUGGGAUCCUUGUCCUGACCUUCCCCUUUAACAUCACUUCCUAAUGUUUGCUCUGCAAAGCAUAUGCUUAAUAUUCUAGUCCCCAUCCCCUCCACUCUGCAGACUCUUGUUUUCUACAGUACCCAACCUAUGGCUCAGGACUGCAGUUGCAGUUUCCUUUCAUCAGGUUGUGCCUUUGCACCAGAGUAGUCCCCAUCUUGAAAAAGGAUUAGAAAUGGGGAAAGCCCUGCUCUCCCUCCAUACUGGAACUGCAACAGAUGCACAAGACACAGGACAUGCUGAGUGGAAAGGCAGCCUUGCAUGGCAUCCCUUAGACAACUGAGCUGCUAAAUUGACAAGAGCCACAAACUAAGCAUGCACGAACUGCAAUUUUCCAAGGACCCAUCACAAGGCUACACCUGCUUGAAUAUUCUCAGGGCCAGCCCACUGCUGGUGUGACUUCUCGCCCCGUGUCAGAUCUUUGCUCUAUAGCAGAGCAUGCCAAAGUCAAAAUGGUUAUUAGAAUUUAUUUAAUGGACAAAUCAAUGACUCGCUUUAUCUUUUCUGUGAUCUUUUCUCUCAGAAUGACUGAACUUAGAAAAAGAAAAUAAACCUGAGGCAGACACUCAGCACGGAAAAUUUCAGCACGGGGAGUUCCAAUCCAGCCAAGUUAGAAGCAAGUGAAAUAAAUUCCUAGAAUGGGUCAUGUCAGGUAUUGCUUUUUAUUUGGUAAUAACUUGCCUUUCUUUUCCACACUAGCAGAGCUGUUGCGGUGAUGCUCAGUGCAGCCAGAAGAGCGGUAAGGGUAAUGAGGAUUUCUCGCCCAUAAGAGGUCUGUGCAUACCCUGUACCUGUGGGAAAGAAAGCAAGAGAUUCAUACUGUGAGCAGAAAUUAUGCUUCUCCUGUUUUAAACUCUGGCCAAAAGUCCUAGGAAGUUUAAAAUAUAGAAGCAAUACAGAGGUUAUAAAGAUGCAUAUAUGCUUCUUAACACAGUCUGAUUGAACAGAUAGUAGGGCACAGCUGGAGGAUCAUACAAAGGAGAUGAGAUAUGAACAGCUGUGCUUCACGUAGAUUAGAGGGAGGUGACAUAAAUAUGGCAGCCAAAAAGGCUGGUAGGUAGUUAGAGGUUGGAAAAGGUCCUGAGUGAUAAGGGGAGAAAGAUAGAUGGUGGAAAGCACCACCUACAUGAAAGAGCGAAGUGGGUACUGCAGGUACUGCAGACAUCCCCUGACCAGUGUAGCAAAGCUUUUUUGUCGUGGCUCUUCACAUUUACCCUAAGUAAUUCUUCAUAUCCAGUAUUCAAUAAUACAAAUCUAGCCAAUCAGCAGCAUGCCCGUUCUUGCCAUAUUUCUAUAGCAUUGCUCUGUUCUUGGCCUGAAGGUCUCCCUUGUCUCACUGUGCAGCAGUGGAACAACGGAAACCUUGUAACCACGUGGAAAAAGGGGAGGGAUUGGGGCGAGCCCCUAGUCUGACUGUGAGCCCCCAACAGUCAGCACCUAGCCUGUACAUCUGAUCACAGUGAGCACCAUAACCACUUACUUCAUUUUCAUCCAUCUCUGUCACAGUGAUAAAGGCCAAACCAUGCUGUGUCCUGGACACUGACACUAAAAACACCCUACCCGGUCCCUGUUUAGACCCUGAUUUUAAGGCUGGUGCUCCCAAGUGCCUGUGGAGGGUAGAUAGAAAUUACUGCAUAUUCAUGUUACCACCUGUAAAUUGGGAACAAUGGCACGGGUAACCUGUGUAAAACAUGCUCAACUGUGAUGCCAUUAAAUAUUGGGUAUUAAGCAUUACUCCUAUCUGACUUUAUAGCUUGCUUGGGUAGAGGAAGAAAAGAGUAAAGAUCAUAUUUUCGUAGUAAAAUCCAGCUGAUUUUUAACUGUGCACCCUUCCUUUCUGGUUGUUCACUUACCUCUAACAAGGACAAACACUCCCUUUCCCUUUAUCUGGAUGCCAUCCCAUUCGACUUUGCAGUAGUAUGUGCCAGUAGAAGAGGUGCUUUCAAGCGGCUUUGUUUCGUGACUGUAAGAUCUGAUGGCAGUCUUAUUCUCUUUUCCAGGAGGAAUAUCUACUUGUUCUUUCUUAUUAUAGAUGGAUACUUCCUGGUCCUGUGCAUUAAUCCAGUAAUAGAAGAUUGUAAAUCUGGUGUAUUUCAUUGUGUACAGGAAGGUGACUUCACAGGGGAUGGAUACUUUUUCCUUAAGCAGUGCAACUUGGAUUACAGGUUUCUGCUGUACACUGAGAUCUCCCCCUGUAAGGGUGAUAAUUGUUAGCAGUCAUCUAACAUUACCGUAAGUCAGGAGAAAAUUGCUGCCCCAAAGACACGAUCAGAUGGUGAAAAUAAAUGUAUGCCGAGAAGCAUGUCUAGAGCAAGCAGUGUUGGCCCUUGUCAGAAACUGAGUGAUGCAGAGCACGUGCCCCUUGUGAUCUGCCACAUCUCUUAGGUAAUUGCUGUGUGAUUUGAGAUAGCCUGUUGCAAUCACAGGCUUCCCCUUUUCCCUUGUGAGCUCCUCUGCACAACGCCAGCGUACAGAAAGACAGGAAAUGAAGCAGGAAGUGAACUGAUUUUGCACUGGUGUGAGAGACUACUUACAAAUUAUGAAAAAGAAAAGCAAUUUUCUAUGAGAAACACUAGCUGGAUGUUUUCUGUAACUCUUGAGUUACAAUCCUCUGCUCAGGUGUGUACACCUGCACGUGAUCACUCUGUGCCAGCAAGAAGAUGUUGUGUGCAAGCAGGUGCAUCUGUGGAACUGUGUGUCUCUGAAACAAGAGUGAGGAAGGAAAUUGCAUACUGUGCGUGGGGCCCAGCACUGGGGCCACGAGAAAUAAGACACAGCUUAAUCACUCCCAACUUUUGCUGCCGUAAAUGGGCAGCAAAGCACAAGAGUGGUUGCUAGAUGCAGGAACUAUUUGUGGAAGACUGCACAUCUUAAAUAUCUACAUGUGACAGUAUCUCAUGCAGAGAGAUGGGAGAUCAUGCCCUUCAUGUGCUUCCUCCUUACUUAGGUCUGUUGAAAGCAAUCUGUCACUGCAACUCAGUAGGCAAUGGUGUAGGGAGUUACAAGAGAGGAUGAACAAGCACAGAUGGGGAACCACACCAGAGUUUGCUCUCUGUUUUGUAAAAUAAAAGGAAAAAAAAAAAAGCUAAGAGUGAGUCUAGUAAAGAGCCUGGGAUAUAGGAUCACUUGGCAUCCCAGCCAAAUCUGGAUUUAACAUCAGACUCCGGAUCCAUUUAUUUGGUAGCUGAUAGAACACCACAAAAAAGCCCUUUAAGAGGAGGCCUGUGCAAAGCAUUGUUGUACUUAAAAAAGGGAAAAGAACUGGAAACUUGCAUUCAAGUUUUGUCACAAAACGAUGGAGUCAGGAUUCUUUCACAGACGUGAAAAUAAAAGGGGAAAAAUACAGAGAGGUAAAGUAGAGCUUUUCCAUUCGUGGUUUUGAUGGCACUCUCUGGGGUUCAGCAUCUAUGAAUAGGAUCAUAACAAGGCAUUAAAAAAGUGGUCCCAGAACACAGCCAGGCUUGCUUUCCUGUCAUCAUGCAGUAAUGCUGCAUCGGAACAGCAGUAUCCACCUCUGUGUGAAGGGACCCAGCAUCGGAAGAGGCAACCCUGACAAUGCUACUGAAUGCAGACUACUAAGGAGAAUUGAGGGGUGGAAUGACAGAAGGAGGGCACAACCACUGUCCAGAAAAGACUUCAGGGAAGUAACAUCAGUUAAAGAAAAUUAAGGAAAAUCCUCUACAGAUGACAUAGCCAAGUACAAUAGCCUAAGAGUAAGGAAGAGCUUAGGUUACAUCAUUAGAAAAGGGUUCUUGGCUGUAAAAGCAACUAGGAUACAAUGAAGUCCCGAGGGACAUGGUCUUUGUGAGUGCACAGUCCUGUGUGCACUAGAUAUAAUGUUAUGGAAAGAAGGCAACAGAAAAUCCUGCAGUCACAGUGGGAGCGAUAACCUGAGUAGUCUCUUCUGGGCCUUAUUUUCUAAAAUAAAUCACCAUCCUUCUCCUCAUCUCUACCCAGCAGAACACACAUGAAUGCAGUUUUUAUACAAGGCACUGUAAAGCAUCGCUGUAAAAAAGCAGAGGAGAGAUCCAUCUUCUUACAGUAUCCCAGGAGCCAUUAGUUUGAGAGGAACAUGCCAGGGAAAAAGCCAAACCAUUUUAUUUAGGUUAUAUAACCCUUCUCCCAUGUUCCCCCUUUCUUAAGGACUCUCUCUCUGAGCUUUGAAAUGCCUAAAAGACAGAAAUAGCAGCAGUGUGCAAAUUCCUAGAGGGGAGCUCUGGAAAUUAGCAAAAGAUAGCAGCUGGAAAUGCUCUAAUAUGAACAAACGUGCGAGUAAGCAGAAGGGAAAAAAAAAAAAAAAAAACUUUUUUACCUCCAUAGUGAAGCAACCAAAGAAACAGGAAGAUGACUUUUAGAUUAGAGCCCAUGGUAAGGUCAAAAGGCUGUAAGGAAGCAACCAGAUAUGAAGAUCCAGAAGGCAAAAAGAGAUUGUAUUUCACGAGGUCUUCCUGCGCCGGAAAGGCUGUUUGAUCCCCUCCCGUUUGUGCAGGGACAGGCGGGACAGACACACGCUGCCUUUGGCAAGCUGUUCCUGGCACAUGCAACCUCUUCUGCUUUUCUGUCAGACUCCUCCCUGCACUGUGGUGCAUUUCUCUAUACUAUUAUCACGGUGUUAUAUCUACCAGCAGGUGUCAAAAGAUUAGACUAUAAGCUCUUUAACGCACAGAGCUUUGUCUUCCAAUGACCAUAAAACAUCACACGCACUUAAAGCAAACUUUGUCACCUUCUGUAGUGACCAAAGCCCCACGUUGGAAUACAGAGAAAAACGUGCUUUGACUGAUGCAGCUUGAGGUCAUUUGAGGUAAACGUGGUCAAAUUCAUUCAACAAGUCAACUGAUUCUGGAGCAAUGGACAAGCUUAAAAGUGGCACAUUACCAUAAUUUUGUAGGAAUUUGUUUAUACAGUUGUUUUGGAACAGCUAUUCCUGACUACCUCACUGCACUGACUAUCCAGAUUUUGAAAUAAGGGCACUUCAAAUUCUCCUACUCAAGUGGCUACUGUGCAGUGCCAGAGGGUGUGGGCUCACAGCAGAGGAGCACUAUCAAACUAAUUCUUUAUGUGGCUACUUGGGCAUGAGAUCACCUGUUUUGCCUUCAAAAUGGGAAACAAGUACCUGCACCAGCAGUCAGCACAGAGAAACAGCCCUGCUGCACUCCCUGCUGCCCAACACUUCCCUCCACAGGUUAGGUUACUUCAGAGAAAGGCGCUCGUAUUGCAGAAGUGAGAACAACCAGACAGUGCAUUCAUCCGUAACAGCUGUGAUGUUUCAGAUUCACACGACGCUGGCUCUGAACCGGCUUCGCACUGCAGGCAAACCUUAAAAAAAAUCUAUUGUAGGGAAAUGUAAGGAGAGCCCUUUGAAGAAGAAAACCCUCUCUUUGUGGGAGGAUCCUACUGCCUACACUCACAAAGAGUCUUUGAUUUCAAUGAAAGCUUGUUUUUAGCUAAGACAUCUGCAAUGCAACAGCUGAGCGGUGUCUGACUCAAAAAACCCUGGUGUCUGAGAGGUCUUUGCUUCUCUCUAGAGAAGUCCUUUUAGACUUCUUGAGACACAUGUGCACUGACCACAAGAAACCACUCUGCUGCAACUUCAAGGGUUCCCACUCACACUGGGUGCUGCACUGUGGCAACUGGUGGGGGAUAGCUGUGCUGUCUAAGACCUAGAUGAGCCUGUAGAUUGUGCAUAUUCAAAAAUCACCCUGUCUGUUGAGUUUGUAUGAGCAAGACUUGCUCCAAAACAACCUUCACUUCAUAGCAUUUUUCCCCUGUUCAACCUGGGACAGGUUCUCAGGAGGAAGGGGUCUUGACACAGGGAGGCUGUGCACAGCUGCGGCUGCUCUAUUCCCCUGGGCCCGGGGCCAGCUUCAGUACCUUGAGGAGAGCCCUGACAGAUGGGGAGAGGAGCAAGUGGCUUUGUGUGGCUUUGCGAGGCUGGUGCAGCAGCUGCACUCCUCCAGGGAAGGUUUAGCUCAGAUUAGCCAAGAGGAACUCCUCUCCCCAAGACACACUGAUAUGAGCUGCACAGGGCUGGUCUCAGCUGCAAAUUGCUCCUCACAGGUCUUAACGCUGAGCAGCAAGGACAAUCAAGAGCGGUAACAAGACACUGGGGGCCUACUUGGUAUUUCAGAUAUGUAGGCACAGAUCAGGCAGCUGUGGCUCUGGGGGGAUGUGGGGUCACAACCAUGCUCAACAGCACUGCUCAGGCCUGAAUUGCAUCUUCAAGAUAGCUGGGGGAGGGAGGGAAUAGCUACCUUCCUAAGGAAGAGUUCUGCUGAACAGUGAGGGCCUCCUCAGCUCUUAUAUCACACUCAUCCCCAUGGUAGCACAGCUUUGCAAUUUCCAGCAAUGAUGUAUUUCUAGAGGACAGAACGUGCUGCUCCUGUCAGUGAUGUGUUUUAACUGUUAUCAGCAUUUAUCUGCUUCAGGAAUUCAGAGUGAUAAGUGGAUUAAGUGCGGUAGGUUUGUAGGGCUGCUAGGUCAACAUCCUCCUUCUGUCCUUUCCCUUCUCUUCCUAUAAACAACCCUGUUGCCACUCUAAAUGCCAAGUCCUAGAAAUACUGCUGUCUGGAAUUUUAAGAAAUAUAUAGUUCUGGCAUUUCAAAAGAGGUCACAUGUAAGACUCUGCUCUAGGAUUACUGGCACGGCAGGCCAGAAACACAUUCUCUGCUGGAAUUUGCUAUGGGUAGUGCCUGCUGAAAAGAAAUGGUUUUGAAAUGACUACCCAGCAACUAUUAACAGGGUAGUAUUCUGUUUCCAAGAGCCUAAAGGGAGCCUGAAUCUUUGAAUAUUAAAUUAUAAUUCCAUUGGUUUGGGGGAUUCUGGACUGGAGACAUAGAUGGGAGGAAAAUGAGGGACAGCGGGGGUAUUUUAUGUUUCUAUAACCAGCCUGGAGCAGGACUGAUCCUCCUGAAACUCAGGUGGAACAAACCAGGACACCUGUGCCAAAGGAAAAAAAUUACAAAGUUCCUAAGGAAUGGGCCAUUGUAGGACUUGCACCCAUACAUUACACAGUACGCUGCUGCAUGUGAGUUGGUCCCUGCUGCAUGAGAAGGGAACUGUUUGUCCCAUUCCAGGUUGGUCGGGAUCUGUAAGUUUGGUCCUUCCUUUAAUGCACCAAAAGUUGACCACUUCCUGAGACCAAAUACAGCACUGGGCCAGAUGCUAGCAACAAUUUCUGCAUGUGGCUGGAAAGCAUCUAUUAAUUUCAUUCAAGCAUUUUCAAAAGCUCAUGACAGCGGCCAGCAUUCCCAACAGUGAGGAAGAGCACAUCAUUCUGGCGCUCGCGAGCAACAAGUUUGGGCAAGUGCUGAACCUACCAGAAUUGCCUGUUCACAGCUGUGUCCAAUGUAUACCCAAAAGCAGCGGCACACACACGUGCCCACACAUGCCCCCACAGCCAACUCCAGGGAAAGUAUUUAUUCCAACAAAAAGACUGCUGCUAGCCAAGGCGAAAGCAACGUUGCAGAGACCACAACAAAGCCUCUUUACUGCCGUAGCGUUUAACACCGCAACCAGCCGUAAGAGAAACACCGCCUGGCGCAGAGAUGAGCUGCAGCAAUUCAACAAGCCUGACUGCAGCGCCUGCCUGAGAGCGUUUCAGAGCAUUCCCCAGCACAGCAGCUCUGGAUUCGCUGCCUUGUCAGAGACCAGCUCAAUCCCCCACCGCUGCAAACCCAGCCAGCGGCAAUGCAGACACGCACCUCCGAGGAUUCGCAAUCUCUUUGACUCCUCUAACCCCGGCCUCUGUGGCUUACAGCUUCCCUCUGGCUGGUGGUAAGAGCGAUAGGAGAGCUAGAACAAGCAGGGCUUUACCUCUGCCAGCAUUUUACCACCGCUCUGUGUCGAGUGCCUCUCAGCAGGACUGGAUGAUGCUGAAGAAAAAGCUGCCAAUGCCCUCGCUAGAUUUCUACCAGUUGAACUGCUCCAGGGAAGAGAACAAUCAGCAACUAGAAGGGAAACCAGAAAAAGAAAGGUGUUGACACCACCGUAGGGAAAGGAGGGGGUGCUUUUAUGAUUCCCUUUCACCAACAAAAUGAGUCUGCCUUGCAAAUCAUUCUGCUUCUGCUCUUUUUCUGUUGCUUUACUGGAAAGAAUCCCGGGGACUGAAUUAUCACCAGGCGCCUGAUGCGCUCGUAGGGGCUCUCGCUUCAACCUGGCAGCACUCCCUGCAGCUCCCCUCCACAUCCCUCCUUUUGUAGCCUGCAUGAGAAGCCGGCGGGCGAGGGGGAUUUCACCUCCAAGGAGUCCUUUGACAUCUUCCGGGGAAAAAAAAAAAAACAACAAACAACAAAUAAAUUCCACAUGGCUCAUACCCAGAGCCCUCCAGGCUGUGGGAAACACGGGUGAGCAGGAGAACGCCUGGAUGCCACAGCCCUCGCCCCGGGCGGGAGACAACGAUCAGAGUGACCACAAGCGCUGCUCGCAGGUUCCCACCCGCUCCGAGGCAGCUGAAUGCUCUGCAUUGGAGCAGCGGGGCCAGCACCUGCCUCUCCGGACGCAGCACAGCUCCCUGCACGCCCACAGCCACGCAGGAAAGCCCUGGAGGGCGGCGCCGUUGCCCGUUGCCCGCUGCCCGCGCCCUCACCCACAAGAUGGCGCCGUCGCCCCGGCUCGCGCCUCCCUCAGCCCCGCGCCCUGCCCUGUGGUGUCACGGAUGCAGGUGCCGCGGCGGGCUCACGCAGGUCGCUGAGGAGGCAGAACGUGCAAAAAGCAGACGUCGUGCUGGUUUCACCCCGUCCUGCCCCGUCCCUUCCACACACAGAGGUGCCGGCAGUGCCCUGGGUGCCCCCUGUCACCGGGAACCACCGCGUUCCCCAUCCCAAGCUCUCUGCUCAGCAGCUUCCCAGCCACAGCGCCAGAGAAAACGAGCACAACUAGGAUCCAUUUAAGGCGAAAUUAAUGCUAAUUAACUGUAACCAACAACUCGCAGUGCAACGUUUACUCAGCAUGCUGCAGCUAUCACCGUAGCGGUUCGCCCGUGAGGCGAAGGUGAGCAGACGGCGGGAUGCGGGAAAGGAAAACGAACCUUACCCCGGGCACCAGCACAGCUGCAGUGCUGGGAGGCCAACCCUGUCCUGCCGCCCCCCCUUCUCACCUCCCUCCCUCACCACUGCAGCCCUGGGAGACCUCAAUUCCCCUCACGUGGCUCUUGCUGUUGUCCCAGCCCUGUGUGACUGGAGUGGACCUGGGGGUGGCAGCCCCCUGGCACACGGGGUGAGGUGUGGGGGCCAAACCUCGUUUCAGCCUGGCAUGGUUUGUCAGCCGCUCUCGGAAGCCAUCCCUCCUACGCUGCGGGCACAUUGGAAACUCUUGCCAGCACUGGGGUGGGGGGGGGAAGUUUUAUUAUGAAUGAGAUUUCUCAACCUCCAGAGGCCUUCUGACAGCGAGUGUGGGCUCCUGGCUGGGUGCUAGGCAAGAAAACAGAGAUGAUCUGUACUCUGAUUUUUCCUGGGAAAGCUUCUUAUGUACUUUCCGCCCCUAGCAAAGCACUACAAAGUGCUAUCGGUGAUGCCAUGGGGCAGGCACAGGGAGGGUUAUGUAGAGCAAGGUGAUGGGGCAGCCAGUGGCCACAGGACCCGUCCCUGCCAGCCUUGCCAGGUGGCCCUUAUGGCUGAGCCAGUUGGCUGUGCCAGGCCCAGCUCCCCAAGCCUUGGCAAGCUGCAGCUUCUGCUUGCCAUCAGGUACCUUGCCAUGCCCCGCGGUGUGCCUGCAGCUGCACCGCACUCCAAGCUCAUUCAUUUCCAUAAAGUCUCUGUGCUCCCCUGUGCCUAGCCAACAUCGUUCCCCACCAGCUCCUUCAUUUUUCUUUUUUUCCCUUCCUUUGAGAAUCAAAGAAUCAUAGAAUGGCUUGGGUUGGAGGGGAUCUCAAAGAUCAUCUAGUUCUAAUGUCUUUUAAAGUCUUCCAUUCUUCCUUUCUUUCUUUCUGCUUAGCCAGGGCCCUGUUCUUGCUGCUCUUCCUCUGGCGGCUUUCCAGCCAAGGGACCUGCAGCAAUCAACACCACCUCUAAGCCAGCAGCCACCCAGCAGCAAACAUGUGCAUGCGGUCACAGUCUGCAUUGGGUCAGCACUGCUCUCCCCAUGUGCAGCAGGCCUCCGCCAGCUCCUGGGAGGAUGGCCGGGAAGGGAUUAAGUAGCUAAGUAUCUCACUGGCAAGUGAAGAUGGCUUUCUUUUCUGUUAAUUCCUGAGCUUUGCUUUUAUCGUGAACUGUGCAGAAUACACAGGCUGAUGCAGCUGUUCUAGCAAACUCUCCUAGGGUAGAAAAACUUCUUUAAGCCACCAGACCCUAUUCUAGCUAUCCAAACUAAAUAAACCAUCCUGGCAAGAGCAUUUGCUGGAAGAACCAUCUCUUUGCUAGGACUUUUGCCAACAUACAUAGAAUUGUUUUUCAUUCUCAGUUUUUACCCACACCUCACUCCAGAUUCCCAUCCACCAUCCACAUCCUGAGCUGACGGGACUACAGGACACAGAUCUGGCCUAAUGCAAGAGGAUCAUCACCAAGUUUUUUUAAACCCUUCUCAAAAUUCCUGCAUGCAGUUGGAGACAUGCAGAUGAGGAUACAGUUUAAAAGCAUAAAAGCAUAACUGCUGACAAAGCUUUUCCCCAGCAGGCACAUAAGCAUGAAGCACUGAGAGUGUCUGUCUGAGGAGGAAAAGGCAGAGCAGAGAACAACCUCGUGGCCAGGUGGAGCAUCAAGCAUUCACCUGCUGGGCAGGGGAAGGUCUGAGAAGAAAGUUCUGAACCUCUCUGUGUACUUGGUGGCUGGAGGCUGGCUCUGAGCCCACCUCAGCCCCUCUAGUAGAAGGAGUGUGGCUGCAUAGCAAACCCUGCAAUGGCAGCUGUAGACCAACAGCGAGGAGGAAGAGAAAAUAUGAAAGUCUGUGUGGAGAAAUAGUAUCAGCAAGAACAUGUGCAUGGAGAGUUCAGGAGCACUUUACUGCUAUUAUUGGAUUUGAACAGUCCCAUCUGGAUAGCAUACGACUGAUUUGUUUGCAUGGCUUAUUUUAGGUAUUUCAGCACACACGUUAGAACUGCCUUCAUAUCUGGCCCAUCCCCUGCACAGCACCUAAGAGCAGCAAGCGACCCCAUCCCAGUGCCUUGGAGAGCUCUUUGCACUUUGAGGUUCAGAGAAGCCCUUUUCCACCCAGCGCAGUACCCCAGAACAAGCGAUGAAACCAUUCCUGUGGCAUCCAAACAAGCAAGAAACUCCAUCAUGGCCAAGAAUGCAAAAGUUCUUGAGUGUGAAGCCGGGCACAUGAUAAUUCACUGGGCCAGGACCAGGGGAAAACAGAUGAAAUUCUAAAUAAUUUGGCCCAAGAUUAAAGAUAUUAUUAUAAAGAAAUGAGUUUAAAAAAUGAAUAAAAAUGUGAUACAAAAAAUAUUGUUUACAUAAACAGAACUGCUUUCAGCCUGAAAUUUGCAGCUGUUUGUCACUAGCUUACAGCGCAGGGAAUGCCCCUUGCAGAUUGAGUCCCCAUAAAACUUAGCAAAUACAAGUUGCUUCAUUAUUUCGCUGCUUUUAGUGCUUUCCAGGGGAUAUUUUUUCCUCCCUUGAACUGGAGCAAAGACUUCUCCCUGCUGACCAACUGGAGGCAGGUUGGAUGCAGCCCAUGUCCUUCCUCCCACCCACCCUAUAUCUCCAUAUGUGCCCAGGCAGGUGACAUUUCCAGAGCCCAUCCAUCCCCAACGGAACUGCCAGCCCUGCCUGAAGCUUUUUCCCACCUUCAUCUUUCCAUUUUGAAGUAGUACAUCCUUGCUUUCAUUCUCUUAGAUUCUUCAGAGACGUCUUUCUCAAUUUGUUUACUUCUGGUUUAUUUUUAAAAGACAAACCCCCAAUGGACAUAAGCUCUCAAGUCACUUCUGAAAACACUGUCUUGUCUGUAAGUGCUUUGUUUGUGAUCCUUUCCAGUCCUUGAGGCUAUUGUUUAUGAGCUGGAAGGCAUCUACGCUUAGGCUAAUCACGCCGAAUGCCAGCAAUUCCCCCAGCAUGAUUUGAUGCACAAGCCAGUGGGAGCAUGGUUUGUUGUGAUUACGUUUACUGCAGAAAACCUGUGUUUGCUCACACCAGCCUCACAAAAUGAGGCGGUCUCAUACUAAACCUUCUGAGGUGAACAGCAAUUUGGUCACUGAUUUCAGUGGCAUCUGGGAGUGGCUGGAAGGUCUGCAGCUCUGCCAGCAAGAGUGGCAUUGCAGAGAAGGAGGUAGCCCAGGAGCCACACCAAUCCUCCUUUAGCUGUUUGCUCAGAGUGGGAUGGAGAUCUAGGAGGCUGCCACUGCUGCGUGCUAUUUUCUUCUUCCUCAUGGCACAACAUACUUGAAGCUCCUAUCCAACACAACCUGUGCACUGGGCAGAGCUGUUCCAGCUGUUGCUCGGGGCAGAGGGUGUCCUCCACUUCCAACCUUCCUACCCAGAGAAUGACAGAAUCAUAGAUUCACAGGAUGGUGGGGUUGGAAGAGACCUCAAAGCCCACCCAGUCCCAUCCCAUGCCGUGGGCAGGGCUGCCAC